rnacentral:rRNA from 1 species
AUUGAACGCUGGCGGCAGGCUUAACACAUGCAAGUCGAGCGGAUGAAGAGAGCUUGCUCUCUGAUUCAGCGGCGGACGGGUGAGUAAUGCCUAGGAAUCUGCCUGGUAGUGGGGGACAACGUUUCGAAAGGAACGCUAAUACCGCAUACGUCCUACGGGAGAAAGUGGGGGAUCUUCGGACCUCACGCUAUCAGAUGAGCCUAGGUACGAUUAGCUAGUUGGUGAGGUAAAGGCUCACCAAGGCGACGAUCGUUAACUGGUCUGAGAGGAUGAUCAGUCACACUGGAACUGAGACACGGUCCAGACUCCUACGGGAGGCAGCAGUGGGGAAUAUUGGACAAUGGGCGAAAGCCUGAUCCAGCCAUGCCGCGUGUGUGAAGAAGGUCUUCGGAUUGUAAAGCACUUUAAGUUGGGAGGAAGGGCAGUAAGUUAAUACCUUGCUGUUUUGACGUUACCGACAGAAUAAGCACCGGCUAACUUCGUGCCAGCAGCCGCGGUAAAAC